rnacentral:rRNA from 1 species
GUCGGGAAUUUUGCGCAAUGGGCGAAAGCCUGACGCAGCAACGCCGCGUGAGGGAUGACGGCCUUCGGGUUGUAAACCUCUUUUGUCAGGGACGAUGAUGACGGUACCUGACGAAUAAGCCACGGCUAACUACGUGCCAGCAGCCGCGGUAAUACGUAGGUGGCAAGCGUUGUCCGGAUUUACUGGGCGUAAAGAGCGCGCAGGCGGUCGUUCAAGUCGCGUGUGAAAGCCCCCGGCUCAACUGGGGAGGGUCACGCGAUACUGAUCGACUCGAAGGCAGGAGAGGGUAGUGGAAUUCCCGGUGUAGUGGUGAAAUGCGUAGAUAUCGGGAGGAACACCAGUGGCGAAGGCGACUACCUGGCCUGUUCUUGACGCUGAGGCGCGAAAGCUAGGGGAGCAAACGGGAUUAGAAACCCGGGUAGUCC